CCCUUAGAUGUUCUGGGCUGCACGCGCGCUACACUGAAGCGUUCAACGAGUAUUCACCUUGCCCGGGAGGGUUGGGUAAUCUUUUGAAAACGCUUCGUGAUGGGGAUAGAUUAUUGCAAUUAUUAAUCUUCAACGAGGAAUGCCUAGUAAGCGCAAGUCAUCAGCUUGCGUUGAUUACGUCCCUGCCCUUUGUACACACCGCCCGUCGCUCCUACCAAUUGAAUGGUCCGGUGAAGCGUUCGGACCGUGGCCUUUGGACGGUUCGCCGUCUGCUGGCUGCGGGAAGUUCGUUAAACCUUAUCAUUUAGAGGAAGGAGAAGUCGUAACA
rnacentral:rRNA from 1 species